GAUGAACGCUGGCGGCGUGCCUAAUACAUGCAAGUCGAGCGAACAGAUGAGGAGCUUGCUCCUCUGACGUUAGCGGCGGACGGGUGAGUAACACGUGGAUAACCUACCUAUAAGACUGGGAUAACUUCGGGAAACCGGAGCUAAUACCGGAUAAUAUAUUGAACCGCAUGGUUCAAUAGUGAAAGACGGUUUUGCUGUCACUUAUAGAUGGAUCCGCGCCGCAUUAGCUAGUUGGUAAGGUAACGGCUUACCAAGGCAACGAUGCGUAGCCGACCUGAGAGGGGGAUCGGCCACACUGGAACUGGGACACGGUCCAGACUCCUACGGGAGGCAGCAGUAGGGAAUCUUCCGCAAUGGGCGAAAGCUUGGCGGAGCAACGCCGCGUGAGUGAUGAAGGUCUUCGGAUCGUAAAACUCUGUUAUUAGGGAAGAACAAAUGUGUAAGUAACUAUGCACGGCUUGACGGUAACUAAUCAGAAAGCCACGGCUAACUACGUG
rnacentral:rRNA from 1 species